UACGUAGGGGGCAAGCGUUGUCGGAUUUAUUGGGCGUAAAGCGCGUGUAGGCGGCCAUGUAGGUCUGACGUGAAGUUCCGAGGCUCAACCUCGGCAGGUCGUUGGAAACCAUAUGGCUAGAGUCCGGAAGAGGAGAGUGGAAUUCCUGGUGUAGCGGUGAAAUGCGCAGAUAUCAGGAAGAACACCUAUGGCGAAGGCAGCACUCUGGGACGGUACUGACGCUGAGACGCGAAAGCGUGGGGAGCGAACAGG
rnacentral:rRNA from 1 species